rnacentral:lncRNA from 1 species
GCUGUAGUUAGUUUGUAUCGCCACAGUUGUACGCGGUGGAUAUACAUAAUAGUGUAGAAUGAAAUUACGCUCGUGUUCGGAUGCUGAGUUUAUUUUUACAGUAGUGUAUAGACUGUUCUGGACUAUCGGGUGCGGUCGCGGUUGACGGUGGAUCCAGAUUUCUGUAUUUUUUAUUAGAUUGUGCCGAGGGCAUGUGAGUUGCGGUUGUUAGACCAGUUAAACUCUUCUGCUUUGACUAUAGCCUGUGAGAGUCUGAUUGAGUUCGGCAGAGAUACGCUU